CUUAAUAACCUGCUCUGAGCCCUCUCUCCCUAGCUUCCGCUCUUAAGACGGGGAUCAAAGAGAGGUCAAACCCAAAAGAGAUCGCGUGGAUGCCCUGCCUGGGGUUGAAGCGUUAAAUCUAAUCAGGCUAGUUUGUUAGUGGCGUGUCUGUCCGCAGCUGGCAAGCGAAUGUAAAGACUGACUAAGCAUGUAGUGCCGAGGAUGUAGGAAUUUCGGACGCGGGUUCAACUCCCGCCAGCUCCACCA
rnacentral:tmRNA from 1 species